AUGCGUCCUGUUCUGGGAACCCUGAAGAACCAUUUGCUACUUCUGACAAUCAGGAAGCCACUGAUACACAGCAGGUUCGAGAUUCCUAGAAAGAAGUUAAAUUUGAAACCACUCAAUUAUGGUUUCCCAGCUAUCCAGUAUCUGAGGAGCAACUUCACUGAUGUUCUAUUCACUUGGAUGCAACAUAUUAUUUCUACUAGAAAUCAUGUCAUUUGGCAACAACAACCUCAUCCUAAAUGAUUUUUCUUUCAGUGACUUUAGGUGUAUGACCUAUUGUAUCUUAGAACAAUAUUAGUCUUAAGUUAGAAAAACACAAAAAGAAACAAUAAGUUUGGGAUUAUCAAAUUAACUCCUUGUAGCUAUGUCUUCCCCAAGAGCAAAUGCCGGUAGUAAUGUUCCUAUGGGGUAUUCUAACUUUUUAUUCUUUCAAAACAAACACUGAAGGAGAUCUAUACAAACUUUAUUGUGGCCUACUUUAAGAUUUAUCCAAAAAUUUAAAGGAAAUAACAACUUAUUCAGAUAAAAGAUGGGGGCACUGAAGUGGGAUGGCAGGAACAUUUAUUUAAAUACUUUUACCUGAAAUAGGCUUAUACUCAGGUUGGAUGAAUAAGGUUGUUUUUUCUAGACCCUUUCCUAAUCUGAUGCUAGGAAAAAAGUAGAGCUGAUAACAGAUUUUUAAAGAGCUAAUUACCUUUCAAAUGCCUUAGUUCUCUAGCUGAACACUUCUCCCCCAGCAUGAGCUAAGGCAAGGUAGUAAAUUAAACAUAACUUGAUAGAUAAGUCUUUGAACUUUCUAACUAUAAUUUAUUGUAAUGAAGCAGAAAAACAGAGAUCUAUACUCAGUUGGUGAGAAGGCUUUUGUAUGGUUGAUGGUUCAGUUUCAUAAUUUGCUUUUAUGGUAAAAAGACACACUAGAGUAAUCUGUCUCUCUGAUUAUUUCUUGGCAUCAACGAACACUCUUGUUUUCUCAAAAACGAUAAUAUCAGUCAUUUUAAAAAAUUGGACCCUAAAUGCAAUUCUGGAAAUAAAAUCAAUUCUGAACAUUUGGUUGCUGUACUCCCAGUCAGUAACAUCUUCACGAGAUUUGAAAAUAUAUAUUUGAGAGUAACCUUCAGGUGCAGCUGGCAGUAAGCAGAUAUGUCUUCAUAUGCUGGGAAAACAAGAGAGGGUGCAGGGGCAAUUAAGUGGCAAUAAAGAAAUAGGUCUACCUGGAAAUUAUUCAUUCAUUCACUUAUUCUUUCAUUCCACAAAUAUUUACUAAGUCUUUACUACAUAUAGACACUGCUACAGGUGCUGGUAAUUAAAAGUGAGUAAGAUAGAUAUUAUUGCUCUAAAACUGUUGACAGGUUAAACAAAUAUUAGUCAGAAGAAUCUUAUUUGAUACCAGUGGUGAUCUAUACUAUGAUGGAAAAGUUAUUAGGAGAUUAUAUAACAAAGAAGUCUAACCUGGUGUGGGGAAUCUAGGCCUCCAGGGGAAAGUGGCAUUCAAGCAAAAAUCCUGAAAGAUUAAUGGAAGAAAUAAAAGGAGGGACACGGGGAAGAGGUACAGACAGAGAGAACGGCGUGUGCAAAGGACUAGAGGCAGAGACUGGUGCAUUUGAGGGGCUAAGAGAUAGCAGAUUACUUUUAAGUUUUUGAGUUCAUUUUCUUGCCUCCACAUGAAACCCAUUGUCAUCCAUCUAGUUGUCAAUCUGACAUCUUCUGGAUGUCUAACAGAUAGCUCAAACUCACCAAGUACAAAACAGAGAUCUUGAUUCUGCUCCAAAAGCCUGCUCCUUCCCUAGCAUUUGCCAUCUCAGCAUCACCAUGUACUUGGUUGCUCAGCCCAAAAAACCUUUAAACCUCGGUUCUUCUUUUGCUCUCACAUCCACAUUUAGUCCCUCAGCAAAUCCUGCUGGCUGUGCAGUUAAAAUAUCCCGCAUAUAGCUGUUCUUCAACAGCUCCACCACAGCUGCCUUGGUAUAAAUUGCCGGUGUGCCUCACUUGGCCCAAGGCAAAAGCUUUCUGACUUCUCUCUCUGUCUCCACACUUAGUUCUACCUGAUACUGUGUUCUACAUUCCAUAUUUGUUUGCUUUAUUGAGGGCAUGGUCCUUAUUUCUUUUGCAUAUUUUUCUAGUACCUGGAAAAGUUUAUGACCCAUGACAGGUACUCCAUAAAUAGUGUGGAAUGAAUGUGUAAAAGCUCGGAUGACUGAUUGAUGUAGUAUGGAUAUUUGUCCCUGGCUGAAUCUCAUGUUGAAUUAUAAUCCCCAAUGCUGGAGGCAGAGGCUGGGGGGAGGUGUUUGGGUCAUGGGGCAUAUGCCUCAUGGUUUGGUGCUGACUUUGUGAUAGUGAGUUCUCGCAAGAUCUGGUCGUUUAAAAAUGUGUAGGAUUUCCUCCCUCCUUUCUCUCUUAUUCCUGCUUUCACUGUGUGGCAUGCCUGCUCCCCCUUUGCCUUCUGCCAUGAUUGUAAGCUUCCUGAGGCCUCCCGAGAAGCUGAACAGGUACCCAUGCCAUGCUUCCUGUAAAGCCUGCAGAACAGUGAGCCAAUUAAAUCUCUUUUCCUUAUAAAUUACCCAAUCUCAGGUAUUUCUUUGUAGCAAUGUAAGGACAAUCUAAUACACUGAUAUAUGGUAAGUGAGGAGAGGCGUGAUACAAAAUGAGAUGGAGAAGGUAUGGGUUUUUAAAAUAGGCAGGGCUUUGUAGGCCAUCUUAAGAAGUUUGGACUUUCUUCUCAGAGAAGUAAAAAGCCAUUGAAGAUUAUGAGAAGAGGCUGUAAUACAAUCUGAUUUAGGUUUUAACAUUUUUCAAUGAAAUUGUGAGCUUGAAUGUUUUAUUAUCCUCAUGAACAGGUUCAAUGGCCCAUCACUUAUGAAUAUAUUUUAAUUGUUUUAUGUAACUAUGCUUAACAGAAAAACACUUUGUA
ensembl:lncRNA